rnacentral:misc_RNA from 1 species
UUUCCGUAGGUGAACCUGCGGAAGGAUCAUUAUUGUAUAACCGAGGUGCGAGGGCUGUCGCUGACCCGAAAGGUCGAGCACGCCCGACUGCCCUAACACACAUCCAUCUCACCCCUAUGUGCACCACCGCGUGGGUCCCCCUUUGGCUUGUUCGGAGGGGGGCUUACGUUUUCACACAAACUUUGUAUGCAGUGUAGAAUGUAUUUUUUGUUUUUGCGAUCACGCAAUCAAUACAACUUUCAACAACGGAUCUCUUGGCUCUC